AUUGAACGCUGGCGGCAGGCCUAACACAUGCAAGUCGAACGAGUGGCGGACGGGUGAGUAAUGUCUGGGAAACUGCCUGAUGGAGGGGGAUAUCUACUGGAAACGGUAGCUAAUACCGCAUACCAUCAGAUGUGCCCAGAUGGGAUUAGCUUGUUGGUGGGGUAACGGCUCACCAGGGCGACGAUCCCUAGCUGGUCUGAGAGGAGGACAAGCCACACUGAAACUGAUUCAGGUUCCGUCCCCCUUGGGGGGGCAGGAUGGGGAAUAUUGCACAAUGGGCGCAAGCCUGAUGCAGCCAUGCCGCGUGUAUGAAGACGGCCUUCGGGUUGUAAAGUACUUUCAGCGGGGAGGCGUUACCCGCAGAAGAAGCACCGGCUAACUCCGUGCCAGCAGCCGCGGUAAUAC
rnacentral:rRNA from 1 species